rnacentral:rRNA from 1 species
GCCAGACUCCUACGGGAGGCAGCAGUGGGGAAUAUUGCACAAUGGGGGGAACCCUGAUGCAGCGACGCCGCGUGGGUGAAGGAGCACCUCGGUGCGUAAAGCCCUCUCGGCAGGGAAGAAACAGACGGUACCUGACUAAGAAGCCCCGGCUAACUACGUGCCAGCAGCCGCGGUAAUACGUAGGGGGCAAGCGUUAUCCGGAUUCACUGGGUGUAAAGGGAGCGUAGACGGCGACGCAAGUCUGGAGUGAAAGCCCGUGGCUUAACUACGGGACUGCUCUGGAAACUGUGCAGCUAGAGUGCAGGAGAGGCAGGCGGAAUUCCUAGUGUAGCGGUGAAAUGCGUAGAUAUUAGGAGGAACACCGGUGGCGAAGGCGGCCUGCUGGACUGUAACUGACGUUGAGGCUCGAAAGCGUGUGGAGCAAACAGGAUUAGAUCCCCUGGUA